CAGCAUAUAGUUUAAUUUAAAAUUUAAUUUUUGGGAAAUUAUGAUAAUUAUAUAUUUAUGUUGA
rnacentral:tRNA from 1 species